rnacentral:rRNA from 1 species
CAAAAAAAAAUAAGUAGGGAAGUCGCUGAUUUCACGCUGUCAAGAAAAGCUUCUAUUGAGAGAGAAGGUGCCCGUACCGUAAACCGACACAGGUAGGCGAGGAGAGAAUCCUAAGAUGAGCGGGAGAAGUGUUGUUAAGGAACUCGGCAAAAUGACUCCGUAACUUCGGGAGAAGGAGUGCCCACGUAAGUGGGCCGCAGAGAAGAGGCUCAAGCGACUGUUUAGCAAAAACAUAGGUCUCUGCUAAAUCGAAAGAUGAUGUAUAGGGGCUGACGCCUGCCCGGUGCUGGAAAGUUAAGAGGAGUGCUUAGCGCAAGCGAAGGUGCGAAUUUAAGCCCCAGUAAACGGCGGCCGUAACAAUAACGGUCCUAAGGUAGCGAAAUUCCUUGUCAGGUAAGUUCUGACCCGCACGAAAGGCGUAACGAUUUGAGCGCUGUCUCGACAACACACCCGGUGAAAUUGUAGUACUCGUGAAGAUGCGAGUUACCCGCGACAGGACGGAAAGACCCCGUAGAGCUUUACUGCAAUCUGGCAUUGAGUUUUGGUAGUACACGUACAGGAUAGGUGGGAGGCAGAGAAUUUGGGACGCUAGUUUCGAAGGAGCCAUCCUUGGGAUACCACCCUUGUACUAUUGGAAUUCUAACGAGUGGCCGUAAUCCGGUCAUCGGACAGUGUCAGACGGGCAGUUUGACUGGGGCGGUCGCCUCCUAAAAAGUAUCGGAGGCGCCCAAAGUUACCUUCAGGAUGGUUGGAAACCAUCUCUUAGAGUGCAAAGGCAAAAAGGUGAUUGACUGCGAGAGAGACAUCUCGAGCAGAGACGAAAGUCGGGCUUAGUGAUCCGGUGGUUCCGAGUGGAAGGGCCAUCGCUCAACGGAUAAAAGCUACCUCGGGGAUAACAGGCUUAUCUCCCCCAAGAGUCCACAUCGACGGGGAGGUUUGGCACCCGAUGUCGGCUCGUCUCAUCCUGGGGCUGAAGCAGGUCCCAAGGGUUGGGCUGUUCGCCCAUUAAAGAGGCACGCGAGCUGGGUUCAGAACGUCGUGAGACAGUUCGGUCCCUAUCCGUCGUGGGCGUCAGAUAUUUGAGAAGAGCUGUUCCUAGUACGAGAGGACCGGAACGGACAAACCACUGGUGCACCAGUUGUUCCGCCAGGAGCAUAGCUGGGUAGCUAAGUUUGGAAAGGAUAAGUGCUGAAGGCAUCUAAGCACGAAGCCCCCUUCAAGAUAAGAUAUCUCACCAGAAAUGGUUAAGGUCCCUGAUAGACGAUCAGGUAGAUAGGCUGGAUGUGGAAGUAUGGUAACAUAUGGAGCUGACCAGUACUAAUCGACCGAGGUCUUGACC